GCUGGCGGCNGGCUUACCAUGCAAGUCGAACGCCCCGCAAGGGGAGUGGCAGACGGGUGAGUAACGCGUGGGAACAUACCCUUUCCUGCGGAAUAGCUCCGGGAAACUGGAAUUAAUACCGCAUACGCCCUACGGGGGAAAGAUUUAUCGGGGAAGGAUUGGCCCGCGUUGGAUUAGCUAGUUGGUGGGGUAAAGGCCUACCAAGGCGACGAUCCAUAGCUGGUCUGAGAGGAUGAUCAGCCACAUUGGGACUGAGACACGGCCCAAACUCCUACGGGAGGCAGCAGUGGGGAAUAUUGGACAAUGGGCGCAAGCCUGAUCCAGCCAUGCCGCGUGAGUGAUGAAGGCCUUAGGGUUGUAAAGCUCUUUCACCGGAGAAGAUAAUGACGGUAUCCGGAGAAGAAGCCCCGGCUAACUUCGUGCCAGCAGCCGCGGUAAUACGAAGGGGGCUAGCGUUGUUCGGAAUUACUGGGCGUAAAGCGCACGUAGGCGGAUAUUUAAGUCAGGGGUGAAAUCCCAGAGCUCAACUCUGGAACUGCCUUUGAUACUGGGUAUCUUGAGUAUGGAAGAGGUAAGUGGAAUUCCGAGUGUAGAGGUGAAAUUCGUAGAUAUUCGGAGGAACACCAGUGGCGAAGGCGGCUUACUGGUCNUUACUGACGCUGAGGUGCGAAAGCGUGGGGAGCAACAGGAUUAGAUACCCUGGUANNCCCGCCGUAACNAUGAAUGUUAGCC
rnacentral:rRNA from 1 species